GGGCCCGCACAAGCGGCGGAGCAUGCGGAUUAAUUCGAUGCAACGCGAAGAACCUUACCUGGGUUUGACAUACACCCUGCCGCUCCAGAGAUGGGGCUUCUUUUGGGGGUGUACAGGUGGUGCAUGGCUGUCGUCAGCUCGUGUCGUGAGAUGUUGGGUUAAGUCCCGCAACGAGCGCAACCCUCGUUCUAUGUUGCCAGCACGUAAUGGUGGGGACUCAUAGGAGACUGCCGGGGUCAACUCGGAGGAAGGUGGGGAUGACGUCAAGUCAUCAUGCCCCUUAUGUCCAGGGCUUCACGCAUGCUACAAUGGCCGGUACAAAGGGCUGCGAUCCCGUAAGGGGGAGCGAAUCCCAAAAAGCCGGUCUCAGUUCGGAUUGGGGUCUGCAACUCGACCCCAUGAAGUCGGAGUCGCUAGUAAUCGCAGA
rnacentral:rRNA from 1 species